rnacentral:rRNA from 1 species
AUUGAACGCUGGCGGCAGGCCUAACACAUGCAAGUCGAACGAGUGGCGGACGGGUGAGUAAUGUCUGGGAAACUGCCCGAUGGAGGGGGAUAACUACUGGAAACGGUAGCUAAUACCGCAUACCAUCGGAUGUGCCCAGAUGGGAUUAGCUAGGAGGUGGGGUAACGGCUCACCUAGGCGACGAUCCCUAGCUGGUCUGAGAGGAUGACACGACACACUGGAACUGAGAAACGGGCCAGACUCCGACGGGAGGCAGUAGUGGGGAAUAUUGCAGAAUGGGCGCAAGCCUGAUGCAGCCAUGCCGCGUGUAUGAAGAAGGCCUUCGGGUUGUAAAGUACUUUCAGCGGGGAGGCGUUACUCGCAGAAGAAGCACCGGCUAACUCCGUGCCAGCAGCCGCGGUAAUUC